rnacentral:rRNA from 1 species
ACACGUAGGGGCCUGACGUUGUUCGGAAUCAUUGGGCGUAAAGGGCGCGCAGGCGGCCGUCCAAGUCCGGUGUUAAAUGGUCGGGCUCAACCCGAUCAUGCGCUGGAAACUGGGCGGCUGGAGUCCCGGAGGGGAUGCCGGAAUUCCAGGUGUAGGGGUGAAAUCUGUAGAUAUUUGGAAGAACACCGAUGGCGAAGGCAGGCAUCUGGCCGGAGACUGACGCUGAGGCGCGAAGGCGCGGGGAGCGAACAGGUUUAGAUACCCUGGUAGUCCGCGCAGUAAACGAUGCGCACCAGGUGUCGGGCGGCAGCGCCCGGUACCGGAGCAAACGCGAUGAGUGCGCCGCCUGGGGAGUAUGCCCGCAAGGGUGAAACUCAAAUGAAUUGACGGGG